AGAAAAAUUUUAAUUUCAUAAUUUAGUAAUUUCUAAAUAUCGGUUCAGUUAUCCACGCGCGACAAAAUGAAAGAAAAUAUUUUAUUAAGAAGAGGAACAUUACUAUUUUCAGAAGAACCUUACGCGGUAACUCUUUCGGAUGAUUGUAGAAGCACUCAUUGUUCUUAUUGUUUCGCAAAAAACAAGCUUUCCAAGUGCAUUAGCUGUGAGUUGCAUCGAUAUUGUAAUAAGGCAUGCCAAGCAAAAGAUUGGGUAGAUCAUAAAUACGAAUGUAAAAUAAUCAAAGGUUUAGCUUUAGAGGAUCGGGUCCGAGUUGAUUACCAAUUCCACCUCCUAUUUCGUAUAAUUUUUAAACUUGAGCGCAAAUCAACUAAAGAUGACCCUGAAAAUUUAAUAUCUUAUUGCAAUGAAAAAAUUAAAUUGACUAAAUACAACUUUAUGGAUUUAAAGGAACACUUCUUGAAGGAUAUGGAGAUGUCCAAAUCUGAAAUAAAAGUCCAUCUCGAUUUACUCAAAAUUUUAUUGCCCCAAAAAAUAUGGGAUAAAUAUGAACAAAUAUUGCCCCAUAUAUACUGCAAAAUAUUGAUUAAUUCAUUUACUAUAAUGGACGAACACCGGCAGGGAAUAGGCUCGGGAAUUUUUAUCAACCAUUCAAAAGUUAAUCACAACUGUAUCCCAAAUGGAGUUUGUAUAUCUAACGGUAGGACCCAACACUUGGUUUUGAUAGAAGAUGUUUACUUGCCCAAUGCGAAUGACUUGGAAAAAUAUGUGCAUAUUACAUAUAUGAAUCCGAUAAGCUCAACCUGUGCUAGACAACAUUUCUUCAAAAACAAUUUACAUUUUACCUGUGAUUGCGCAUUGUGUUGCUCAGAUAAGACUCAAGAGCAAUCAUCGAAUAGUCUAGAGAACGAAUAUAAGAUAGAUAUAAUAGAUGAAUAUUUACCAAAAUAUGACUUUCAAGAAUCUGAUUUGGAUAUAGAAGAAUUACAGAUAUACCAGGAGCAAUAUUUUAGCCAAUACCUAACAAAAAAGAAUCAAGUUCUGUUUAGUCAGAAGUCGAAGGCUGUAUCAUUCCCAGUUUCUACGAACAUAGUUUACAACACCAUGCUACAGGCAAACAUAGACGCUAAUGUGAUAGAUACCGGGCGAAAUCUUACGAGACGUGACCCCGAAGCAAAGAUCAUCUUCAAAAUAAUGUACGAAAUGUGCAGAGCUUUGGAAAGUGGACAUAUCUUGAAGUUUUUGUUUUGGAUGCUCAUUAUAAAAAAUUAUGGUAAAUACGAAGUGUAUUUAGCGAUACAUUGGUAUAGGAUGGCUACAUUGUCGAAAGCGUUGAACUACAAGUCGUCACCAAAUUAUUUACAAAAAUAAAACUAAAUCCACGACCCAACGAUGAAGGAAGGCAUUUUAUUAAAAAGAGGGACAUUACUAUUUUCCGAAGAACCUUACGUGGCAACCCUUUCGAAUGCUUUUAGAAGCAUUCACUGCUCUUAUUGCUUCGCUAAAAACAAGCUUUCCAGAUGCACUGCCUGUAAAUUUCAACGAUACUGUAAUAAGGAAUGCCAAGCAAAAGAUUGGGUAGAUCAUAAAGAUGAAUGUAAAAUAU